rnacentral:rRNA from 1 species
UACAGAGACUGCAAGCGUUAUUCGGAUUCACUGGGCGUAAAGGGUGCGCAGGCGGCCAAGUGUGUGAGGCGUGAAAGCCCGAAGCUUAACUUCGGAAUUGCACCUCAAACUACAUGGCUAGAGCAUUGGAGAGGGUAGCGGAAUUCACGGUGUAGCAGUGAAAUGCGUAGAUAUCGUGAGGAAUACCAGAGGCGAAGGCGGCUACCUGGACAAUUGCUGACGCUCAGGCACGAAAGCGUGGGGAGCAAAAGGG